rnacentral:rRNA from 1 species
GAGGAAUAUUGGUCAAUGGACGGAAGUCUGAACCAGCCAUGUCGCGUGCAGGAUGACUGCCCUAUGGGUUGUAAACUGCUUUUGUAUGGGAAGAAAGUGGGGUACGUGUACCCCUUUGCCGGUACCAUACGAAUAAGGAUCGGCUAACUCCGUGCCAGCAGCCGCGGUAAUACGGAGGAUCCGAGCGUUAUCCGGAUUUAUUGGGUUUAAAGGGUGCGUAGGCUGGGGAUUAAGUCAGUGGUGAAAGUUUGCGGCUCAACCGUAAAAUUGCCGUUGAUACUGGUUCUCUUGAGUACAUUUGAGGCAGGCGGAAUGUGGUGUGUAGCGGUGAAAUGCAUAGAUAUACCACAGAACACCGAUUGCGAAGGCAGCUUGCUAAGAUGUGACUGACGCUGAAGCACGAAAGCAUGGGGAUCAAAC